UACAGAGGGGGCAAGCGUUAUUCGGCAUUAUUGGGCGUAAAGGGCGCGUAGGCGGCUUGGCAAGUGGAUGGUGAAAUCCCUCGGCUUAACCGAGGAACUGCCGUCCAAACUGCUUCGCUUGAGACCGGGAGAGGUGAGUGGAAUUCCCAGUGUAGCGGUGAAAUGCGUAGAUAUUGGGAGGAACACCAGUGGCGAAGGCGGCUCACUGGACCGGUACUGACGCUGAUGCGCGAAAGCGUGGGUAGCAAACAGG
rnacentral:rRNA from 1 species